GCACUGUUGUGGAGUCCCACAAUAGGACAAAACGGCCGUCCAGUGC
rnacentral:hammerhead_ribozyme from 1 species